ensembl:lncRNA
CCCUUGCUGUUGAUGCUUUUGGAUAAAGAUGGCCCAGGAAAGAUGAGGUUCUAGGGAAAGUUAGGUGUUUUUAAGAGAAACCAAACAGGGCUCAGAAUUCCACUCUCUUCACAUGCAUCAUGAUCUCACUUCAGGUGUCUUUUUACAGGCCUGCUCAGCCACAGGAGGGACCCAGGUGCUGGUGUCAUCAUUAACCCCUCAGUGAUGGGGAGCCAAGCUUCACCUCCAGCCCAGGCUCUGCACAAAGAGAGAUGGAUGGCUCCAGGGACUCAGCAGCAGCAGCAAAUCAGACUCAGUGCCACUAACAGGGCCUAGAACAAAUGGCUGGCUGUCCAUGAACUGCUUGGAGGAAAAGGCAGCAGCAGGAUCAGGUUAUUGUGUGGGUUGGAUCCUGCCCUCGGGACCACAGCUGGACCAGACACAGCCAGAGAACACAGCCAGCAUUGUCCAUCCUUCAGUCCACAACCACCAUGCAGAGCACACCUUGUCUGAAAUAACAGGUCUUCAUAGGAUCCUUCUGGUUGAGAGAUGAUAUCACAGAUUAUAUCUGUGUCUGCUUUAGGUCUGGACUGUUGCUAAGAGAAAAACAAUUCCUGGCAAAUUCCUCGAAGUGCUUGCCUCAUACAGUUUGGAUGGAGACAGUUUUUCCAAGAAAGAUGGGGGCAACAACAGCAGUUCAAAGGACACCAGUGGGACAAAAGAGCUUCCUGCAGCCGCCAGGAAUGUGCAUGGAUGCUUCACCUGGGCUUUUGCACACACUCCAGCUGGUUUGUGUGGAAGGGCUCGUUUCCUGGCUCCUUGUGCUGUACUGUUCUGAUGGUUCUGUGCUUCCCAGCACCAGUCCUGAGCUCUAA